rnacentral:rRNA from 1 species
GACGAACGCUGGCGGCGUGCUUAACACAUGCAAGUCGAACGGAAAGGCCCUGCUUUUGUGGGGUGCUCGAGUGGCGAACGGGUGAGUAACACGUGAGUAACCUGCCCUUGACUUUGGGAUAACUUCAGGAAACUGGUGCUCAUACCGGAUAGGAGCUCCUGCUGCAUGGUGGGGGUUGGAAAGUUUCGGCGGUUGGGGAUGGACUCGCGGCUUAUCAGCUUGUUGGUGGGGUAGUGGCUUACCAAGGCUUUGACGGGUAGCCGGCCUGAGAGGGUGACCGGCCACAUUGGGACUGAGAUACGGCCCAGACUCCUACGGGAUGCAGCAGUGGGGAAUAUUGCACAAUGGGCGGAAGCCUGAUGCAGCAACGCCGCGUGCGGGAUGACGGCCUUCGGGUUGUAAACCGCUUUCGCCUGUGACGAAGCGUGAGUGACGGUAAUGGGUAAAGAAGCACCGGCUAACUACGUG